GAUAGCGAAGAGGCUAAACGCGGCGGACUGUAAAUCCGCUCCUUCGGGUUCGGGGGUUCGAAUCCCUCUCUCUCCA
rnacentral:tRNA from 4 species